rnacentral:sRNA from 1 species
CCAGGGUUCCACCUGUUGCUCUCCCGAUGUGAGCAAGCCCUGGUGGCAGCUGCCAGGGUCCAGUGCAGCCCCUCCCCACAGCAUGCUGGGGGUUAAUUCUGAUGUCAUCUUUCUGCAGAAAACCAUGAGCCCAUCCCUCCAGACUGCCACCCUCAAAGCCAUCUGCCCAGGCCCCAUCUGACACUCUUGACAUCUGCAGGUCCCAGACCCUAUGAUGUGUCCACUCUGGAGGCUCCUCAUCCUCCUCGGUUUGCUGGCCUUGCCCUUGGCACCACACAAGCAGCCUUGGCCUGGCCUGGCCAAAGCCCACAGAGACAACAAAUCCACCCUGGCAAGAAUUAUUGCUCAGGGUCUCAUAAAGCACAACGCAGAAAGCCGAAUCCAGAACAUCCACUUUGGGGACAGACUGAAUGCCUCAGCACAAGUGGCCCCAGGGAUGGUGGGCUGGCUAAUCAGCAGCAGGAAACACCAGCAGCAGCAAGAGAGCAGCAUCAACAUCACCAACAUUCAGCUGGACUAUGGCGGGAUCCAGAUGUCAUUCCAUAAGGAGUGGUUCUCGGCAAACAUCUCACUUGAAUUUGACCUUGAAUUGAGACCGUCCUUCGAUAACAACAUCAUAAAGAUGUGUGCACACAUGAGCAUCGUUGUGGAGUUCUGGCUGGAGAAAGAUGAGUUUGGCAGGAGGGAUCUGGUGACAGGCAAAUGCGAUGCAGAGCCCAGCAGUGUCCACGUGGCCGUCCUCACAGAGGCUAUCCCACCAAAGAUGAAUCAGUUUCUCUACAACCUCAAAGAGAACCUGCAAAAAGUUCUCCCACACCUGGUAGAAAGUCAGCCCCUGGCCUGAUCCUUCUCUCUGUGCUGAUGGUCCAGGUAUGUCCUCUGAUCGGUGAAAUCCUCGGACAGCUGGAUGUGAAACUGUUGAAAAGCCUCAUAGAACAGGAGGCUGCUCAUGAACCAACCCACAAUGAAUCCAGCCAACCCUCUGCAUGCCAGGCUGGAGAGUCCCCCAGCUGACUACUGCUGAUCAGAAGGAAAGUCCACAUCUUGGGACCUUAAGUCUCCCUUAGAGUGGGGCUUCUGCUACCCUAAGAACUUUACCCCAGGCCCUGUGGACACCCCAUCCUCUCCUACAAUAAACUCUAGCUCUGAAGGGUG